UUGGAGUAAGAAGACGAAGGGUUGAACACUUCGAGCGAGCCACGUUGGUCUCUGGGAAAUGCCUCCAUUCUGCUGACUCUCUGUUCCAUUCAUGCACAUGUCACACAAUCAAUCUCUCAAAAAGUAAGAAUUAACUACGCAAAUCACUUGUCAGUACUCAGUUACCAUAGUUAUAGACAAUAAAUCCCUGCAUUUUUCUGUUGAAUGAGAACAAAAAAUUCAUGGAAGACUAUGAGUUUCAUGUUAUAGAAUUUGUGUGCUGUUGUUGUUAGUUGGUAACAAAAGAUUUGAAAAAAAGACUGGGGUCACAUCUGGUAUGAACAAAAGACAUGAGUGGAUGUCUUGUAUGGUAAAUUUGUGAAAUGAAUACUAAAUCUCUGCGUGUUGUUGAAGUGGGAUGAGGAUGGAGAUUGAGUUCAGUGUUUGAUGUGUACUUUGGAACUAACAUAUGAUGUCGUCCAAGUAUGAUAUGAUGGUGGUGCAGUGUUAGUAAUUCGAAUGGCAAGGGCAUGUGGUAGGAGUGGGACUCGUACAGCGAAUGAUGAGUUGUGUGGGGCUUUUUGCUGGUUCAUCACUUUUUUUCAGGCUAAUUUUGUUUGCUUGAGGGUGGGAGAUUGCAAUGAGUGGUGGAGGUUGAUUACUUAGGAGGGGACACUAAUUAAUGCAUCGAAACAUAACUGAGAUAAGACACUGUCUGGGUUUUUCGCUAAUUAUGUCAGAACACAAGUGUCCCCAAUGGAUAGAGGAAAAUCCCCAGAGAAGGACACGUAAUGAUAGGAGAGAAAUUUGGAUGAAAAGCUGUGGUGAGCCAAAAGUGCUUCUUCUGCUUGCGUGGAACAGAAAUGAAUGUUGGGGAAUUUUUCAUGCCAUCCAUCUAACAGACUAAUCAGAAUGACUUCCUAAACCACCAUGAUUUGAUUCCUAAACUGUCCAGAUAUAAAUUGACGUAGUGCAAGGACAGUUAUAGAAUUGUGAGAAAAGUUCAAAAGUUAACUAAUUCCAGCAUGAAAAAAGAAAAAUCAUUACUGUGAUUAGAAAUGUUUCACAGUUUAAUAAUACCUCUUGCUGUGUGUGAUUAGAAAUGUUUUACAGUGUAAUACCUCUUGUGCUUUGCAGGGUCAGAAAUCUUCUGAAUUUGGCAGUGGUAGGAGGUGUGGACUUGUGUUGCUGCUUCUUGUUAAAGAAAUUUGCACACAAUAUAAACAGAGAGAA
rnacentral:lncRNA from 1 species